rnacentral:rRNA from 1 species
CGACUCUAGCAAUAGAGAGUGGCGCACGGGUGAGGAACGCGUGGGAACGUACCCUUUAGUACGGAAUAACAGCGGGAAACUGCUGCUAAUACCGUAUACGCCCUUCGGGGAAAGAUUUAUCGCUAAAGGAUCGGCCCGCGUGAGAUUAGGUAGUUGGUGGGGUAAUGGCCUACCAAGCCUACGAUCUCUAGCUGGUCUGGGAGGAUGAUCAGCCACACUGGAACUGAGACACGGUCCAG